GAUGAACGCUAGCGGGAGGCCUAACACAUGCAAGCCGAGCGGUAUUGUUUCUUCGGAAAUGAGAGAGCGGCGUACGGGUGCGGAACACGUGUGCGACCUGCCUUUAUCUGGAGGAUAGCCUUUCGAAAGGAAGAUUAAUACUCCAUAAUAUAUUAAUUGGCAUCAAUUGAUAUUGAAAACUCCGGUGGAUAGAGAUGGGCACGCGCAAGAUUAGCUAGUUGGUGAGGUAACGGCUCACCAAGGCAAUGAUCUUUAGGGGGCCUGAGAGGGUGAUCCCCCACACUGGUACUGAGACACGGACCAGACUCCUACGGGAGGCAGCAGUGAGGAAUAUUGGUCAAUGGGUGCAAGCCUGAACCAGCCAUCCCGCGUGAAGGAUUAAGGUCCUAUGGAUUGUAAACUUCUUUUGUAUAGGGAUAAACCUACCCUCGUGAGGGUAGCUGAAGGUACUAUACGAAUAAGCACCGGCUAACUCCGUGCCAGCAGCCGCGGUAAUAC
rnacentral:rRNA from 1 species